rfam:Schistosoma margrebowiei strain Zambia genome assembly, scaffold: SMRZ_scaffold0000137
AUCCUGCUGAUGAGUCUUAAACAGGACGAAACGCGCGUCAAACCGGAU